rnacentral:tRNA from 1 species
GGUGAGAUGGGUGAGUGGCUUAAACCACCAGUUUGCUAAACUGACGUAUGGGAAACUGUACCGAGGGUUCGAAUCCCUCUCUCACCG